UAGCGAAGGGGGCUAGCGUUGCUCGGAAUCACUGGGCGUAAAGGGUGCGUAGGCGGGUCUUUAAGUCAGGGGUGAAAUCCUGGAGCUAACUCCAGAACUGCCUUUGAUACUGAAGAUCUUGAGUUCGGGAGAGGUGAGUGGAACUGCGAGUGUAGAGGUGAAAAUUCGUAGAUAUUCGCAAGAACACCAGUGGCGAAGGCGGCUCACUGGCCCGGUACUGACGCUGAGGUGCGAAAGCGUGGGAGCAACAGGG
rnacentral:rRNA from 1 species